rnacentral:rRNA from 1 species
UACGGGAGGCAGCAGUGGGGAAUAUUGCACAAUGGGCGCAAGCCUGAUGCAGCCAUGCCGCGUGUAUGAAAAAGGCCUUCGGGUUGUAAAGUACUUUCAGUCGUGAGGAAGGUGUUAAGGUUAAUAACCUUAGCAAUUGACGUUAGCGACAGAAGAAGCACCGGCUAACUCCGUGCCAGCAGCCGCGGUAAUACGGAGGGUGCGAGCGUUAAUCGGAAUUACUGGGCGUAAAGGGCACGCAGGCGGUUAAUUAAAUUGGAUGUGAAAUCCCCGGGCUUAACCUGGGAAUGGCAUUCAAGCUGGUUAGCUAGAGUCUUGUAGAGGGGGGUUAGAAUUCCAUGUGUAGCGGUGAAAUGCGUAGAGAUGUGGAGGAAUACCGGUGGCGAAGGCGGCCCCUGGACAAAGACUGACGCUCAUGUGCGAAAGCUGGGGAGCAAACAGGGAUUAGAUACC